GGAAAUACUGCUCUUAUUGUAGCAGCAGAGGAAGGACAUUAUGACAUUGUACAGCUGCUAUUAAAUAAUGGAGCUGAUCAAAGCACUGCAAAUUAUUUAGGAAAGACUGCUCUAGUUCUAGCUGCAAGUAAAAGACAUCAUGAGAUUGUACAGUUAUUAAUUGAAGAUUAUCCAAUUGCUUCAAUUCACAAUAAGGAGUUAUAUGAAGCUGCUGAAAGAGGUGAUUCUACUGGUGUCCAGUCUGCACUGUCUCAAGGAGCUAAUGUAAACUAUCAUAAUCCUAA